GAUGGGUUACUGAAAAGUAAAAUACUUUAGGUGUAACUUUCAAAAGUGCCACGGUUUUCCCGAUUUUGUUAUUUGGGUUGGCCUACCUGGUAGCUGGUUGUGGACUUCGGCCCCGGACGGUGAAGUUUUGGGGUUUUCUGCCAUGUGUUCCUCAAAUCAAGUCACGCUGGCAUCAGAGAAAAUGGAGCUGACAACACUCUGGGAGCGGGUGUGGCCUGAUGAUGUCAUCUCUGAUACGCCACUGUCUGAUUGGCUGGAGUGGUUGGACUGGGACUCUGGGCAGGCAGACAGACCUGGCAGGCUGGAGGAGCUGGAUCCAGACUUGAUGGAGGAAGAGGAGAGGGAGGACCAAUCGUAGGCUGCCUCCGUCCUCCUCAUUGCCUCCUGGAUCAGACAGAUUUACUACAGGACAAGUUUACCUUGGCAAUGCGGAUACUGUUGAUCCAUUGUUGGAGGGUUCUGACAUCAUCACAACAGAGGUACUUGAUGUACUGAGACUUUUUCUGGAUCUGAGGGUGCUACACACACACAAUAUUAUCAGAUACUUUACUAGUUGUGUUAUUACUUGCUUAUUAUUACUACAACUCCUGUCACUAUUAAUGACAAACACAAAGUUAAUAUUUCUAAUGUGCUGUUAAAUUAAAAUCAAACCACUACCGUAUUAAUACAUUAAAGACAUAUUAUUGUGUA